GGCCACAUCACGUUGAAACACCGGUUCCCGUAAAACCAGAGAAGUUAAGUAACGUCGAUGCUGGUCAGUAACUUGAUCGGUGACCGCUUGGGAAUACCAGGUGUUGUAAG